CUACGGAGGAUGCGAGCGUUAUCCGGAUUUAUUGGGUUUAGAGGGAGCGUAGGUGGGAUAUUAAGUCAGCUGUGAAAGUUUGGGGCUCAACCUUAAAAUUGCAGUUGAUACUGGCUUCCUUGAGUACGGUAUAGGUGGGCGGAAUUCGUGGUGUAGCGGUGAAAUGCUUAGAUAUCACGAAGAACUCCGAUCGCGAAGGCAGCUCACCGGGCCGGAACUGACACUGAUGCUCGAAAGUGCGGGUAUCAAACAGGAUUAGAUACCCUGGUAGUCCGCACAGUAAACGAUGAAUACUCGCUGUUUGCGAUACACAGUAAGCGGCACAGCGAAAGCGUUAAGUAAUCCACCUGGGGAGUACGCCGGCAACGGUGAAACUCAAAUGAAUUGGCGGGG
rnacentral:rRNA from 1 species